GCUCUUCAAGCUCCAGAUCUCAACUUACUUACUGCAAUGACAGGGGUGAAAAGCUUGUGUAACUCUUUGGCUGCAAUGAGAAGUGGCCCAGAAUAUUUUCAAUCUAUUUUCAAUGACAGUGUGAAAAUGUGUGUAGAGAAUGAUAUAUCGAUUCCUCCAGUUAAGAAGAGAAAAAUGUCCACUCGUAUUGAUGAUGUGUUUGAGUCCCAGCAUCACUUUGAUACAAAAGAAGAGCAGGAGAGAAUAACAUCCUUUUACCCACUCCUAGAUUCAAUGAUUACCGGCAUUGACCAGCAAUUUGAACAGGAGACUUGUAAAAUUGUGACUGCAAUGGGAAAACUGCUGAGCUUAGACAUUGGCAGGGACGAUAUGAGAAUCAUUGCCAACAAAUUUAAAGUGUCCUUGGAUGAGUUGGAAGCUGAAGUCGGAUUGCUUUGGGGUUAUGACAGAUCUGUUCCUAAAGGUAGCACUACGAACAGCACCAGAUAUUGGCUAAAGGAAUUGGAUCGGUCUUCCAUAUUCCAGGCCUUUUACAAAUCUAUUUAAUGCUUUGCAGUCUUACCUGUUACAAGCUGUUCAUGUGAAAGAGCCUUUUCGAAACUAGCACAUGAAAAAACCAAACUAAGAAGUACAAUGUCCCAACAGCGCCUUGACUCACUCAUGAUUUUGUACAUUGAACAAGAAUUGGCUUUGUCAUGGAAUAUCAGGGUUGGAAGGGACCUCAGGAGGUCAUCUUGUCCAAC